CGAACGCUUGCGGCGUGCCUAACACAUGCAAGUCGAACGAGAAAGCCCUGCUUGCAGGGUGAGUAAAGUGGCGAACGGGUGAGUAACACGUGAGUAAUCUGCCUUAGGGACAGGGAUAACAUCCCGAAAGGGGUGCUAAUACCUGAUACGAUAAAGACUUCACAUGGAGACUUUGUGAAAGGUGACCUCUUCUUGAAAGUUGCUGCCCUUAGAUGAGCUCGCGUACCAUUAGCUUGUUGGUGGGGUAAAGGCCUACCAAGGCUAAGAUGGUUAGCUGGUCUGAGAGGAUGAUCAGCCACACUGGAACUGAGACACGGUCCAGACUCCUACGGGAGGCAGCAGUGGGGAAUAUUGCGCAAUGGGGGAAACCCUGACGCAGCAACGCCGCGUGAGUGAUGAAGGCCUUUGGGUCGUAAAGCUCUGUCAGGUGGGAAGAGAACGGACGGUACCACCAAAGGAAGCACCGGCUAACUCC
rnacentral:rRNA from 1 species